rnacentral:rRNA from 1 species
CCUACGGGUGGCUGCAGUGGGGAAUCUUGCGCAAUGGGCGAAAGCCUGACGCAGCGACGCCGCGUGAGCGAUGAAGGCCUUCGGGUUGUAAAGCUCUGUGGGGAGGAAAGAAUAAGGUUUGGCUAAUAUCCAAGCCGAUGACGGUACCUCCUUAGCAAGCACCGGCUAACUCUGUGCCAGCAGCCGCGGUAAGACAGAGGGUGCAAACGUUGUUCGGAAUUACUGGGCGUAAAGCGCGUGUAGGCGGCUUCGCAAGUCGGGUGUGAAAUCCCACG